AUUUGGCCAUGCCCCUUCAUGGUGGUCACCCUCUGGAGUCGUUUGGGAAGUCUGAGUCUUCUGCCAGUGUUCAGAAUUUAAGAAGAUUGAUCUCUUUCAGUAUCUGAAAAUAUUUUUGUUUGGACCUCUCCCAAAAAAGUCAAGGUAUUGCUUUAUAAAGCCAGAGGUUAUCUUCAAGUUGGAACAAGGAGAAGAUCCAUGGUUAUGAGACAAACUUCUGAAGAGGAGUUAUCCAGGAGAGUUUCAGAGUGCUGGCAGAAGGUAUUCCCG